CAAAGCAGUUUUACAAAACUCAUCAGAGGGAGGCACUGGUGGCCAUGAUGCCUCCUCCACAGCCUGUGUGAUUCUCACCAAACUGAAUCCCCUGAAGGCUGGGUGUCCUGAGAUGGUGCAGCCUCCACCACAAGAUGAAGGCAUCUGGCCUAUUUGGGCAGAAUGCCGCUGACACCUCCUGCUUCGAUUCUUCUUGAGUUUCUCUGGUCCAACCUGUGAAGAGAAUAUGUCCGCCGUGAAUGAUAAAUAAUCUAGCAUAUGAUAGAAUCUAACCCCUAGAAAAAUGAUGAAAUUCAUAGCUGGAAAAGAAUAGCUGGUGUGCCAGAUUGCACCUUAUGUUCUGGACGCCUGACAUUUGCCACGGUGGUCAUAUCCUGCCAUCCCCUGAGGUGUGGACUUGCCCGCCUGCCCCUGGCUCACGGGCCUCACUGCCAGCCCUACCACAUGCCCUCAGCCGAACGAUGAGUCCUUGGAGGUCUGUCGUGUCCCGCUCUCUCCCACAUCUGUUCCUUUUUGGUGUUAUGGGAAUAUUCAACUACUCUCCACUGAAGUGGAAAUUCUCAUGAGAUCCCAGGAAAACAUACUUGAAGCUCCAGGAUGUGAUGUGAUGGCUAAAGCUUGGGUAGCAACC